UUUCAGUGAAAUGGACAGAGGAAAAAUAAUUGAACGCUCGGUUUCGAGCUUCUAGGCCGAAAUAUAACCCCACGACCGUAUUUUACGGUAUAGCGUUGCUAAUAGCCUCCUUAAUUCCGCCUCUUCUUCUAUACCCCUCCUCUAAAAAGAACUUGAACGGAAAUAGGCUCCUUUGACCCUUGGAAGAUUCACGGGAAUUCACAGUAAUUUUCUUUGUAUGUAACAUAUUGCCCCUUACGGGCUUUUCCAUACGAUACAAAAUUGGGUGUUGGCCAGGUUUUCAAGAGGCAAUGUACCAAGUUAGAUGACCCAAAAGCUCCGUAUGGCCCAUUUCUCAUUACUCAGUAAAUUUUGCUGAUAAUUUUUAAUUAAAAAAUGCGUUUUGAUUAAUUUUCAGCUAUCAGUUAGGUCACUCCGGCCAACAUGCAAUCUCCGCCCAAGAGUGUCCACUCCGUAAAUUGAAGGUGCAGCUACAUUUCUGACCGGGGCGGGCGGUGGGGAUUAUUAUGGGGAUUUCAUGGUAUUGUCUUUGAAAAAAGUCUUUUCAUAAUAAACCAGGAAUUAUUCUGCACUCUCUCUCGAGAAGAGAAGAGUAAGUUUGAGCUUGAAAAAAUUCGCAAGAUUGCAUCAGUUUUGUUAUUUCUUCACUCUUGUCAUGCCAUAACUCGCGUGGGCAACGCGCGAGUCGCAAGAAACUGCCCAUCAUUCUUUGCAAGAACAGUUCCGCCAUGUUGUCGAACCGCCCACUUUGAAGAUUAGACGAGGUGAAGCUGGGACUGGGUUCUUCACGAGCAACCAGAGAGCCGGACACCCGUGUUAGCGUGUGAAAUGCGAGGUGGAGGCAAAUUAGGACAAGACAGGAAGAGGAUUAUCAUUAUUUACCAUAUUCUAGGAUGAUGAUUUUAUUGCAGUCCAGGAGCAGGUGGAGACAAAUCAGUACAAGACAGGAAGAGGAUUAUCAUUAUUUACCAUAUUCUAGAAUGAUAAUUUUAUUGCAAUCCAGGACCACGUAAACACUUGUGUUCUUAUGCAAUGAUCAAAUCAAAACUUAACCUGGCUCAGAUCCCUGGUCAUCCUCCUGAGGUGGAAUUUACCCUUGGAAUUACCCCUGGUAUUGUCUCUGGGAUUACCCCUGGGAUUAUUUCUGGGAUUACCCCUGGGAUUUCUCCUGAUAAUUAAUCCUUCAGAUAUUGAUAUAAAAAUCACCAAAUUCUAGGACAAGGAAAAUAAUAUUUAAAAUUUAAAUUCACUGUCAUUAGAGGUUGCCACAGGUCAGGAAAAAGUGAGGGAAUGUCAUUUAUCUAAGUUGGAGGAAAAUGGAAAAGAUCCUCCUUCUUAACCAUUUAGUAAGCCUUGCAAUAUUGGAUGCAAAUAAUGGUUCAUAGAAAACCAUCCUACAUUUUGUACAAUCUCGGGUGUACAUUCAGAUAGGAGGGCUUAUUAUUUUCCAAAACGAUUUUUCGCAUUUAAGACUUUGGGAGGGGCUUAUUAAGAGCACUUUUUUCAUUGUACAGAUCUGACAGCCCUAUAAUAUCUCCAUGGCCCACAAACCUUUCAAUAAAUUAUGACAAUGGUUAACCCAGGGGCAAACCCAUUAUUACACAGCACAAAAUCAAGUGGAUUAUCUGUCAGGAAAGAGAGAUUGGCAGGAAUCUCAACAGAAGAUGAACACAAUGCAAACAAGUGUGAUACUAAUGAGGAUAUCACUGAACACCAUUAAGAACAUGGGGAGCUGGGAUGGCACAGUGGUGAGAGCACUCACCUCUCAUAAAAUGGGGCCUGGGUUCAACGCCAGGGUGGUGCCAUAUGCGGGUUGUCAUGAGUUUGUUGUUCGUUCUAGUCUUGCUCAUUGGGUUUUUCCCUGGGUUCUCUGGUUUUCUUCCCUCUGCAAAAACCACAUCUCCAAAUUCCAAUUCAACCAGGAUAGAGGACCCACAUGAAAACCAGCCAAGGCUGAUGUGGCUUCCUCUGUAAAUAUUGAGAUUUAACAUGAUACAAAUCACAAAACUGACACGAAUAUAGGUACAAGCUACUUUUGUUGACGGACUCAAAAGCUGAAAGCUGACCACUAACCUGAGACCUUGACUGAGUGAUCACUGAUUACAAACUAUAUGUGGGUCUUUGAAAGAGCUUACAACAUCACUUUGUGAUUCACUGUCAGUGCUACUGACCAGAGAUGGGAAACCAUAGACUAAGAAACAACUGUUGACUGUUAAAAAAAAUUGUUGAGUUGACUCUGAAGAUGACUUACGUUCUCUCUGAUAUUUUUCAAAAUAAAAACUAAAAUUAGUUAUCACCAACAGUGCUGUUCAGGGCAAUCCUUGAUCAGUGAUUGCACUUGUCUGACUAGUACGUCUUGGCUCAGUGAAAAAUAUUCUCCAGUCAGUGUUGGGAAAAAGUUAGGGAAAUUAUUUUUCUUUACACUGGGCAAAUAGACGGGUUUUUUUCUUACUCCCUCCCCUGGGAAGCUUGUAACAGGAAAGAGUUAUGGGUUAACAGUAAAUUUUCUCAGGUUUGGCCAGGUUAAGGAAGUAAUGUGAUUUGAUCAUUGCAUUGUAUGAUGUAAACCAAGUUCUGCUUUAGACUUUGCAAUACCACAGACAUGCUUGCUUACAGUCAUACAAUUGGCCCAUCAACCAAAUUGGUUUUGCACACUUUGACAGUGGAUAACCCAUCUGUUUUUGGUUUCAUUAUUAUUACUGUAUUUCCUUUAACUUCAGAAGGGGAACUCUUUUAAAUGGGCAUCCUUUUAGGGGGGGGGCGGGCUAGGGGGCCACGUCUUAUUAAUAGGUCAACAUGUAAAUGGGUUUUGCAUUUAGCUGAAUAUCGCUUUUGAACAUUCAGAUCAAAAUUGAAAUUUGUAGGGAAAAAAUUGAUUGGGACAUUUAGCUUGUUAUCCGUAGGGAACUUAUUACUUAAAAAAUGAAAAAUUCUUCUUAGUGCCAUCAUUCAAAAUAUUAUGAGCAGUUGUAAUCAAAAACACGAUUUUUUUUAGAUGAAGAGUCACUGCAAUUUGCUGUCAGUGUUAUCUCCAUUAAAUCAGAUUUAAGGACUUGAAGUUGCACAAAUGAAAAACCUUAAAUUGGUAGCUAUGAAUGUAAUGCUUUUGAUCUGGACCAUAUUAACUAUUUUAAUUUAUGUUCCCUGUGAACAAAAUCACCUUCCACUGAGAUCGAAACUGCAAUUUUUGUUGAUGAAAGAAAUAUUUUUGGAUAGGUUAGUAGGACUCAACUUAGGGAAGGGGCCAAGUUGAGGAAAUACAGUAAUUUUAAUUGUCAAAAGUUGCUUUUGAAAGUAGAUGCCCAAUCAUAUGUUAUAUGUCCUAGACCAUCUCUCUCCUGACCAAUCCUUUAGAAUAGAAACUGUUUUUUUUUUUUUUUCAAUUCUCUUUCAAAAAAUAAGGUUCCAAAGUUUACCAUAAUUUCAUUUUACUGUUUUAAGACAACAGAGUUCAUUUUGUGGGGUGUGAAUGAAGCUGAGACCACUGUAUAAUUUAAAAAAGUGAAUGAUAAGACAGUCAAAUAUAAUUUUCACUAAUUGAUAAUUUUGAGGCACUUACUAAUUUAUGAAUUCUCACCCAAAUUAUCGAUAAAUUUAUUUGAGUUUGUGGCUUAUUUCUGACUUCUUAUGAAAGCAUUUUAGUGACUGUGUAUUGUCACAUCAUGUAUAAUAAAUUGAGUUUACUAGAAGAACUAGAGAACUGUUUUGCCUAUUCUUUGACUUGCUUCACAAAAUUGCUUUGAAAAAAAAAACAGUCAAAUAUAUUUUUUUUAAAAUUUGUAAUGGAAUUUAAAAUCUCUUUCUUUAUUGUUUCUAAGAGUGACAUCCUCUGUUAUCCACUGUCAGCAAAUUGAUUGAAACUGUUUUUGUUUUUUUUUUUCAUGCCGUGGUUUAAACUUGACUUCUGUUGUGUUGAGCAUGUCUGCGGUACUUGUAGUUGUUAUACAGUGGCUCAUAUCAACAAAAUAUGAAGCUAUCAUGCAAAUUAUGUUAUUCCCUACUCUUAUCCCUUCAGCAUGAGUUGUACAUGAAAGGUUUUCAAUUUGCCAAAAUCCACAAACUUUUACAGAAAAAAUAUCUAAACAAGUGUUAUGGAGAAAUUUUUUUCAACCAACAGAAAAAAAAUGCUGCUCAGUUGCUAAGGUUAAUUUAUGCCAAUUAUAGAACAAUGUGGAGUAUUUAAAACUGUUACAUUUGCAAAAAUGAUCUGUGAUUUCACUCUCUGUGCUUUUCAGUAGUUCUGUAGGAGGGAAUAUUUUCAAGUUCAGAAACAAAAAUUUCUCAUUCCAAGCGUCUUACUUACAUGAAAGAGAUUUGAAAACGGUAAAAUUGAAAUUUUGUCAUGGUAGAAAAAAAGCCAGAGCAUUGUUUCGUGUCAAGUCGUGACUAAUCCGAACCUUUCAAGCUGUUGUGGUUUGGCGGUUACCUUUUGCGGUUUCAUCUCACAUCUGAUUGGUCGCAAAACAAUAAACAUUCAACAAAUUUUUUCUGGUGUUCCCGGUUUUAUGGGAAAGACUGUUAUUUGACAAAUGCUGAAAUUGAAAUUGGCACUCAGUACAUGUAGAUCUUUAUGAGACGACAUGUUUUCAAGUUCCAAUAUGUCAAAUUUCCUUUUCAUCAGUGUUCAAAGAGAUUUCUACCAAAUUCUCAGGAGUCAGUUUUCAAUUGAAUUAUUGCAGGAUGUAUCAUUUAGAGUUGUUGCUGUUAUUUUCAGUUCUAAUGGUAUGAAAAGUCAAUAGACCAUUUUACAGUUGUCUGCUCAGUGACCUG
rnacentral:lncRNA from 1 species